ensembl:lncRNA
CAGCACUCGAGUUAUCACGACACUACACACUCUCGCUAAUGUGAAGCUGAACAGAGGACACAUAAAUACCAGUAUAGCAGUCUCUAUACAACCAAGCUUUCAGCUCAAGCACACAUAUGGCUUUGGAAGAACCACACAGGACCUUGGGAAAGGUCACCACUGUAUUUGCAACCAAGCUGAAGUCUUUCACCUUUGUGCCGUUUCUAAAAAGACUACCUGUUGAGAACAGGGUCUGGAAAAAGGUACUUCAGACAAGCAGACCAAGCAAGACUUCACAAGAGCCAGGGGACAUUAAAAAGAGCAUGGCGGAAGAGGGAGUCUACAAAGCAGAGGUUGUUUACGUCCAAGACCCUGAAGAGCACCAGCUUGGAAGAAACGCUCAAGAACACCACUCAAAGUGAGAUUCAGUCAACUGACAAUUUAACCCUCAAACCACUCACCAUGCUAGCUGGUCCUCACACAGAAUUUGGUAGCAAACCUCCUGAGUCUAGCCCUACCACCAUGGAAACCACUGAUAACAAAUACCCUGGCAUUUCUCAUCUAGGCUUUCACAGCCCUUCAGAGGCUGCUGAGGUCAGCUCAGGUCUGUUUUCAAAUAGCUCAUCCCAGAGGGGGGAUGCCCUAAGCCCUGCCAGCUCCAUGGAUUUUUGUACUUCCGCUGCUUCUUCUAAGGAGUCUAUUUUCUUCGAGGGCUGGGACAAAGAGAGG